GUGGGGAAUAUUGCACAAUGGGGGAAACCCUGAUGCAGCGACGCCGCGUGAGUGAAGAAGUAUUUCGGUACGUAAAGCUCUAUCAGCAAGGAAGAAAAUGACGGUACUUGACUAAGAAGCCCCGGCUAACUACGUGCCAGCAGCCGCGGUAAUACGUAGGGGGCAAGCGUUAUCCGGAUUUACUGGGUGUAAAGGGAGCGUAGACGGUAUGGUAAGUCAGAUGGGAAAGCCCGGGGCUCAACCCCGGGACUGCAUUUGAAACUAUCAGACUGGAGUGCAGGAGAGGUAAGUGGAAUUCCUAGUGUAGCGGUGAAAUGCGUAGAUAUUAGGAGGAACACCAGUGGCGAAGGCGGCUUACUGGACUGUAACUGACGUUGAGGCUCGAAAGCGUGGGGAGCAAACAGGAUUAGAUACCCGUGUAGUCC
rnacentral:rRNA from 1 species